CCGACUGCUAUUUGGGUGAGGAUAAGCCAUGCGAGUCGAAUGGGAUACCUAAAAUUCCCAUGGCGAACUGCUUAGUAACACAUGAUCAACUUACCCUAUGGAGAAAAAUAAUCUCGGGAAACUGAGGAUAAUGCUUCAUAGUUGAAUAGGCUUGGAAAAGUUUUUCAAUAAAAUGGGUAAAAAAAAUGGUUUUUAUCUGCUAUAGGAUAGGAUCGUGGACGAUUAUGGUAGUUGGUGAGGUAACGGCUCACCAAGCCGAUAAUCGAUAGGGGCCGUGAGAGCGGGAGCCCCGAGAUGGGUACUGAGACAACGACCCAGGCCUUACGAGGUGCAGCAAGCGCGAAACCUCCGCAAUAUACGAAAGUAUGACGGGGUUACCCAAAGUGUUCAUUAUUGAACUGUGGUAGGUGAGUAAUGUCCCCUACUAGAAAGGAGAGGGCAAGGCUGGUGCCAGCCGCCGCGGUAAAACCAGCUCUUCAAGUGGUCGGGAUAAUUAUUGGGCUUAAAGUGUCCGUAGCCGGUUUAGUAAGUUCCUGGUAAAAUCGGGUAGCUUAACUAUCUGUAUGCUAGGAAUACUGCUAUACUAGAGGGCGGGAGAGGUCUGAGGUACUACAGGGGUAGGGGUGAAAUCUUAUAAUCCUUGUAGGACCACCAGUGGCGAAGGCGUCAGACUGGAACGCGCCUGACGGUGAGGGACGAAAGCCAGGGGAGCGAACCGGAUUAGAUACCCGGGUAGUCCUGGCCGUAAACGAUGCAUACUAGGUGAUGGCACGGCCAUGAGCCGUGUCAGUGCCGUAGGGAAACCGUUAAGUGUGCCGCCUGGGAAGUACGGUCGCAAGGCUAAAACUUAA
rnacentral:rRNA from 1 species